GACGAACGCUGGCGGCGUGCCUAAUACAUGCAAGUAGGACGCAGUUGCGAACGGGUGAGUAACGCCUAGGUAACUGCCUAUUAUAGGGGGAUAACUAUUGGAAACGAUAGCUAAUACCGCAUACUAGUAGAUGGACCUGCUUUGUAUUUGCUAGUAGGUAGGGUAAUGGGCUACCAAGGCGACGAUACCUAGCCGGCCUGGGAGGGUGAUCGGCCACACUGGGAAUGAGACACGGCCCAGACUCCCACGGGAGGCAGCAGUAGGGAAAGUUCGGGAAUGGGGGGAACCCUGACCGGGCAAAGCCGCGGGAGUGGAGAAGGUUUUCGGAUCGUAAAGCUCUGUUGUUAAGGAAGCGGUACUUAACCAGAAAGGGACGGCUAACUACGUGCCAGCAGCCGCGGUAAUAC
rnacentral:rRNA from 1 species